rnacentral:rRNA from 1 species
AACAAACGCUGGCGGCGUGUCUUAAGCAUGCAAGUUGAGCGGCAAGGAGGAGAGAUCCUCCCUAGAGCGGCGGACUGGUGAGUAACGCGUGGGUAAUCUAUCGUAGGCAUGGGGAUAGUCACUAGAAAUAGUGGGUAAUACCGAAUACGUUCCAUGAGGGGAGUAUUCAUGGAAGAAAGGGUGCUACGGCACUGGCCUUAGGUGAGCUCGCGUCCCAUUAGCUAGUUGGUGAGGUAAAGGCCCACCAAGGCGAUGAUGGGUAGCCGGCCUGAGAGGGUGUACGGCCACACUGGGACUGAGAUACGGCCCAGACUCCUACGGGAGGCAGCAGCUAAGAAUAUUCCGCAAUGGACGAAAGUCUGACGGAGCGACGCCGCGUGGAUGAAGAAGGCCGAAAGGUUGUAAAGCUCUGUUUUAAGGGACGAAUGUUCGUGGUAGUAACUGACCAUGAAAUGACGGUACCUUAAGAGGAAGCCCCGGCUAACUACGUGCCAGCAGCCGCGGU